rnacentral:rRNA from 1 species
CGGAGCUAGCAUACACAUGCAGUCGAGCGGUAACAGGGGGAGCUUGCUCCCCGCUGACGAGCGGCGGACGGGUGAGUAAUACAUAGGAAUCUGCCCAGUAGUGGGGGAUAGCCCGGGGAAACCCGGAUUAAUACCGCAUACGCCCUUCGGGGGAAAGCAGGGGAUCUUCGGACCUUGCGCUAUUGGAUGAGCCUAUGUCGGAUUAGCUAGUUGGUGGGGUAAUAGCCUACCAAGGCGACGAUCCGUAGCUGGUCUGAGAGGAUGAUCAGCCACAUCGGGACUGAGACACGGCCCGAACUCCUACGGGAGGCAGCAGUGGGGAAUAUUGGACAAUGGGGGCAACCCUGAUCCAGCCAUGCCGCGUGUGUGAAGAAGGCUUUCGGGUUGUAAAGCACUUUCAGUGAGGAGGAAAACCUUACGACUAAUACUCGUGAGGCUUGACGUUACUCACAGAAGAAGCACCGGCUAACUCCGUGCCAGCAGCCGCGGUAAUACGGAGGGUGCAAGCGUUAAUCGGAAUUACUGGGCGUAAAGCGCGCGUAGGUGGUUUGAUAAGCGAGAUGUGAAAGCCCCGGGCUUAACCUGGGAACGGCAUUUCGA